GCAGGAGCAACAUCACUCCAGCAUGCUCUAGUCCAUGAGGAAAUAUCAUGACACCCUGUGGUGCACUGCUGAACUUUUGGGAACUGGCAAGCCUGAAUCAGAAGUGCUACUGGUCCAUGAAGAUAUGCCUCUAGAAAGAAUAUCAAGUACUGGCCCAACAGAACCGUGGAAAAGACUGCCUAUAAUUGCCUUUAUUGCCUUAACAUUCUGCACUGUGGCGGGUAUUGUACAUGCAUCGUGAAGUACAUUGUAUUUUGAGCCACCAAACUGCAGGAGCUCGCUUCCUACCUGCUCAGUCAUUGGUUCAUGCUGUGAAGGGGUUGGAGUGUAGUGGAAUUCCUAGGUCACAGUCUGAACCAAUGGGUGAGCACAUGAGUGCCUGGAGCGGGGGGGGGGGGGCUAGAGUCACCCCUUCUGUCUCAGGGAUGCUUCUUGGAGCGCGUGUGCAGUCUGAGCCUGUGUGCGUUCCCUUUCCCCCGCCCUUCUGCAGCGCAAGAAUGCGAACAGGAGAAGGCUGCGUUCCUCAGCUCGCCCCUUUUUCCAAACUGUUUUUUGGAGGGCUGAUGAGGUGCCCUUCUAUGUUACAAGGAAUUCCUUUUACAUCACAGUGGUAGAGCUGGUUAAAAACACCAUCUGCUCUCAUAAAUGCCUGGACUGUGUUUAGCCACACUAUUCAAAAACUUGAGAAUAGCUACUGAAAGCUGGAGAUGAACCCUUGAAGUACACUGGAUGACAUCCGAACACAUCCAACAGUUAAGUGAAGGACCAAGUACUAUAAAAAGUCAAGUUACCCAGCUAAAGAGGAGAACGUGCCAGCUCCAUCUAGUUCAUAGAUUACAGCUAUCCUUUGGAAGCAGAGUGAUGAAUACUACUCAGACUACUCCUCUGGCUGAGACAAGCAACCCAUUGUGCCACCGUUUGUGCCUGGGCCACCCCUGUCAUAGGAAGGCAACAAUCUGGAAAGGGAUAGCAUGAAUUAUUCUUGAAUUAAAUCCUAUUAAAGGAGAGAAAAAACACAGCACAAAGAAAUUCAGGAGGCUAAGCAAAGCCAGGAAAAAAAAAAAAUGAAGAUCAACACUGAAAUAUGAAUUCUGAAGUCAACAAUAUUCAACUACAUGCACUCUGUCCAGGAGAUCUAGAAUUAAGGCAAAUUCAAAGAAAUACAUGAAGAAAACAUUGGUUCCCUGUGUUAUUAACAGCUAUCCAAGGUCACUGAUCAAAUCACACAAUAGUUCAGAAAUGUAUAAAAAUGCAUUUGCAGGAGCCAAAUUUGCAGGUUGAGAAUCUGCAUUCUACACUGUGGCCUUUUUGUCAUGGAGAUAACCAACUUUUCUAAGCAUUUCUAAAAACUUCUGACUUCAUUCCCUUUGAAUAACAGGAAAUAUCUAUACACAUGAAAAGCAAUGUCCUGCCAUGAUUUAAGAACUAGAAGAGAAAUACAUACACACACACAUAUAUACAUUCUUCCUAUAUUCUAUAUAUAUUCUUAAACUUUCCUGCUUCUCCAAAUCAAGCAAAAAUUCAUUCUACCAUAAAGCAGAUAUUCACACGAGAGAGAUAUUUCACUAUACAGAAGUACAACAUUUAACCCACUAUUUUUCUCCACCUUCCUCCUUUGGUGUUAGCAGUAACACUUCAGGAGAACAUUUUUAGGAAAAAUACUUGUUAAUUAAAAAAAAUAACCUCCAACUUCAUUUUAAUGCUCAGCAUCUGUUGUUUUGGGAAAUUCUGUACAAAGCUACAUAAUAUUACACAGAAUCACAAAUGAAAUUAACCAAAGGAUGGCUCGAUGUGAAACACAUCUUUAGAAAGCAUGCUAAUUCCACACCAAUAACUAAUAAUGAUUGACAUAAAAGGAGUAAACAAGAACAAGGUUGAAAACACAAGGUUCCUUUAUAGUAUCAUAGCCAUCAAGUUUAAGGCAAUUCAUAACUUUGUUUUUAUUUUUUAAAUAAUUGGAUACUUGGUUGCAUAUCUUCCUCCUUUUAAGUCUAAAGCAUUCUUAGCAAGAAGGCAAAGUUUUUAGUGGAUGUCAUACUUAUUACCUAGUGCUCCUGACACUUUGCUUACUAAUGACUAUUGCACAGAACAAGCAAACCAAUAUUAUGAAUGAAUGCUAUUCUUCACUGGUUCACUGCUUCCAGCUGGGAUGGAGUUAACUUCCUUCACAGUUGUCUAUACAGUGCUGCAUUUUGAAACUGUGAUUAUAUCAGUGCUGAUAACACACCAGUGUUUUGGCCAUUGCUGAGAAGUACUUGCACAGCAUACUGCUUUUUCUUUUUCUCUUCUCUGCCUCCCUCAGAGAGUAAGCUGAAGGUGCACCAGAAAUUGACUUGAGAUAUUCCAAUCCAAAUGGCAUUAUGCUCAGCUACACAAGAUCAUGGAAAGAAGAAGGAACAUUUAUUGUUUUCAUCCUUUCAAGUAACCAUUACACAUGCUGAAAUCCUUCUUUCCAGGAGGUGGCUAAACAUCUGCCUAGCAAUGACAAAUAGUGAAUAAAUUCCUUUAUUUUGCUCUGCUUGCACACAUGACUUCGCUUAAUUUAUUAAACUUGUUUAAAUGAUGAAGACCUUGACCUAUGAGUUUUCAGCUUUCUUAUUCUCUCCUCCAUCUCACUGUGGAGGGAGCUAGCAAGCAACUGCGUGGGUUCUGAGCUGUUAGCAAGAGGGAACACACCAUACAUGACCAUGCUCAAACACAACUGUUUUUGCAAUUACACUCCAUAUAGUUCUUUUUACUUUGGGGAAUUUUGAAUAAAGAAGACAGAUCUUGAUAUUUGAUUCCGUUUUGUCUAAUAUACUCGUAGCAGUUUAAAGGGGACGGAAGAUCCAAUUUAGAAUCAAAAAAUGCAGUCAUUCAUAAUUCAAGAACUUUAUUUAUGAAAGAAAUUUAUGAAAAACUUCAGGCAAAUAAAUGUAGGUACACUAAAAAUUAGAUUCAAGAUUGCCAAGCUGCAACCUAAAGCUUGUCUUUUGUGUAUGAAGAAUACUAUAUAAAUUAGUAAAAUAAUUACUAAUAUGUAUAAAAAUAUUAUGGGAACUACCCUUACUGACUGUGUGUCAUGGUUUUACGAUUUUUGGUUACUGGUAUUCUAUAUCAUAACAUAAUGUAGUGCAUUGGGAGUUAAAGUAUUAAUUCUGCAGUUCUGGGUACCUGUCCGGAAGAGAAGAAGAGCUACAUACCCCAGGGGGCUUUGCAGUCAGAGAGGAGAUAUAACCUCUGGCAAGGUCACCUGAUGCCUCCCUUUUCGAUCGUCAGCCUCUCCUCACUACUACUUGUCCUGACUGCAUGCAUCGCCUCAGCACUACCAUAAGGCCUACAGUUUUCAGAUAAUCUUUCUCUCAUUAUAUUUAUUAGCUUCAAUUCAAAUUAUAUUGUAUUAUAGUGUGUUAUCUUUCAUUCCGAUACUGUAUUUAGUAAAUUAGUUUGUUUCUCCUUGUCA
rnacentral:lncRNA from 1 species